UACGAACCGUGCGAACGUUAUUCGGAAUCACUGGGCUUAAAGGGCGCGUAGGCGGGUCCGUCAGUCAGGGGUGAAAUCCCACGGCCCAACCGUGGAAGUGCCUUUGAUACUGCGGGCCUCGAGGGGGAUAGGGGCGUGCGGAACUCAGGGUGGAGCGGUGAAAUGCGCAGAUAUCGGGAGGAACACCAAUGGCGAAGGCAGCUCGCUGGGACGGUACUGACGCUGAGACGCGAAAGCGUGGGGAGCAAACAGG
rnacentral:rRNA from 1 species